AUUGAACGCUGGCGGCAUGCUUUACACAUGCAAGUCGAACGGCAGCGCGGGGCAACCUGGCGGCGAGUGGCGAACGGGUGCGUAAUAUAUCGGAACGUACCCAGAAGUGGGGGAUAACGUAGCGAAAGUUACGCUAAUACCGCAUACGAUCUACGGAUGAAAGUAGGGGACCGCAAGGCCUUAUGCUUUUGGAGCGGCCGAUAUCUGAUUAGCUAGUUGGUGAGGUAAAGGCUCACCAAGGCGACGAUCAGUAGCUGGUCUGAGAGGACGACCAGCCACACUGGAACUGAGACACGGUCCAGACUCCUACGGGAGGCAGCAGUGGGGAAUUUUGGACAAUGGGCGCAAGCCUGAUCCAGCAAUGCCGCGUGAGUGAAGAAGGCCUUCGGGUUGUAAAGCUCUUUUGUCAGGGAAGAAACGGUAGAGGCUAAUAUACUUUGCUAAUGACGGUACCUGAAGAAUAAGCACCGGCUAACUACGUG
rnacentral:rRNA from 1 species